GACGAACGCUGGCGGCGUGCCUAAUACAUGCAAGUCGAGCGAGCUUGCCUAGAUGAAUUUGGUGCUUGCACCAGAUGAAACUAGAUACAAGCGAGCGGCGGACGGGUGAGUAACACGUGGGUAACCUGCCCAAGAGACUGGGAUAACACCUGGAAACAGAUGCUAAUACCGGAUAACAACACUAGACGCAUGUCUAGAGUUUAAAAGAUGGUUCUGCUAUCACUCUUGGAUGGACCUGCGGUGCAUUAGCUAGUUGGUAAGGCAACGGCUUACCAAGGCAAUGAUGCAUAGCCGAGUUGAGAGACUGAUCGGCCACAUUGGGACUGAGACACGGCCCAAACUCCUACGGGAGGCAGCAGUAGGGAAUCUUGCACAAUGGACGCAAGUCUGAUGGAGCAACGCCGCGUGAGUGAAGAAGGGUUUCGGCUCGUAAAGCUCUGUUGGUAGUGAAGAAAGAUAGAGGUAGUAACUGGCCUUUAUUUGACGGUAAUUACUUAGAAAGUCACGGCUAACUACGUG
rnacentral:rRNA from 1 species